UGCAACAACCUAGCCCACCCACAACAAUAAAACCCAACAAACAAAACUAUCCCCACCAAAACCAAUCAAAACAUUUCUACCAUCUUAGUAUAGGCGAUAGAAAUAAA
rnacentral:rRNA from 1 species